GUGAAUCAUCAAAUUUUUGAACGCAUAUUGCACUCUCUGGUAUUCCGGAGAGUAUGCCUGUUUGAGGGUAAUUAAAAAGAAUCUUUAACCAAUUUUUUUUGGUCAAAGGAAAUGAGUUCUCCACGCUUCUAGCGGUAGCUUGCAAUAAAUGGUCAAGUCUCAUUUUAGUCGAGACGCGUAAUAAUAUUAUUUCGCGAACUCUUCAUUAUGUGACUAUCAAGUUUUUAUGCAUACACAUUUGGUUUGUAUUCGAUCACUACCAAUAUUUUGAACCUUACCUCCAAUCAUGUAGUAGUCCCC
rnacentral:misc_RNA from 1 species